AACUAAUUAAGCCUGACUGGGAUUCUUACUGCAAUUAGCAAGAUGAUCACUUUUUACUGAGGAUAUCUGCUAAACAGCUUCACAGCCUUCUCGCAAUAAGGUCACUUUCUUCCAUCAGAAAAGUAAGCUCUUCCACAUUCACUAGAAGAAGCCUAGAGAACAUCAGAAGGAAAAUGUGUCAGUUCUACAAUUGGACAAGGUCCUACCUUAUUAUCAUGGAUCUGUGAACAACUGUUUUAGACUCAAGAAGCCAUUCUUUUUUAGGACUGCAGAAGUCAGACUCAAGUUUUGCCAAAAACUUGGUAGGUGUGUUUUACAUCUCACCAUUCAAAUCAAACAUCGCAGCAAACAGAAGCCAUUCUAUGGAGAGGCAGCCAAAGACUAGCUGUAUAAAUCCUACUUUUGGGGAAUAUCAUUAGAAGGCAACACACUUCCAUGCUACCCUUUUGUAGAGAAGACACAGAAUGUUGAAACCAUUCUUUUAAUUCCAUUGGUCAUCUGUCAAAGUCCUCACACUUCUUUCAAGAUGAAAAAUGUCUCAUCUUUAUGAUGUUCUUUCCCUUUAGAAUGUGGCUACACAAAUAUCACACUUACUAAGAAGUUAGAGAAGCAAAAGG
rnacentral:lncRNA from 1 species